rnacentral:rRNA from 1 species
ACGAGGGUGACAGGUGGUGGCAUGGUUGUCGUCAGCUCGUGUCGUGAGAUGUUGGGGUUAAGUCCCCGCAACGAGCGCAACCCUCGACCUUAGUUGCCAGCAUUCAGUUGGGCACUCUAAGGUGACUGCCGGCUAAAAGUCGGAGGAAGGUGGGGAUGACGUCAAAUCAUCAUGCCCCUUAUGACCUGGGCUACACACGUGCUACAAUGGGCGGUACAAGGGUCGCGAACCCGCGAGGGGGAGCCAAUCCCAAAAAGCCGCUCUCAGUUCGGAUUGCAGGCUGCAACUCGCCUGCAUGAAGCCGGAAUCGCUAGUAAUCGCGGAUCAGCAUGCCGCGGUGAAUACGUUCCCGGGCCUU